AGGUGUAUGAACAGGGAAACUAUGAAGUUGAAGGGCAAGUGUUCAGCUAUGAGAGGACCAGAAAACCGCUAAGAAACAUGUCUUGCAAGAAGUUGCUGUGGCCAACGUCAAAGAGGUUGCUGCCUGUGUUUUCCUCUAUGAUUUUGAUGGAUUCCUGUCUCACAUUGAGGUCUUUCAACCAUUUGGAGUCUAUUUUUGUGUGUGGUGUAAGGAAAUGGUCCAAUUUCAUUCUUCUGCAUGUGGCUGUCCAAUUUUCCCAGCACCAUUUAUUGAAGAGACUGUCUUUUUCCACUGGAUAUUUUUUUCUUGCUUUGAAGAUUAGUUGACCAUAGAGUUGAGUGUCCAUUUCUGGGUUUUCUAUUCUGUUCCAUUGAUCUAUAUGUCUGUUUUUGUGCCAAUACCAUGCUGUCUUGAUUAUCACAGCUUUGUAAUAUAUCUUGAAGUCAGGAAUUGUGAUGUCUCCAGCUUUGAUUUUGUUUUUCAACAAUCCCCUGGCAAUUUGGGGUCUUUCCUGGUUCCAUACAAAUUUUAGGAUUGUUUGUUCCAGCUCUGUGAAAAAUGUCGAUGAUAUUUUGAUAGGGAUUACAUUGAAUGUGUAGAUUGUUCU